UAGGGAAUCUUCGGCAAUGGGGGGAACCCUGACCGAGCAACGCCGCGUGAGUGAAGAAGGCUUUCGGAUCGUAAAGCUCUGUUGUUAAGGAAGAACGAGUGUGAGAAUGGAAAGUUCAUGCUGUGACGGUACUUAACCAGAAAGGGACGGCUAACUACGUGCCAGCAGCCGCGGUAAUACGUAGGUCCCGAGCGUUGUCCGGAUUUAUUGGGCGUAAAGCGAGCGCAGGCGGUUAGAAAAGUCUGAAGUGAAAGGCAGUGGCUCAACCAUUGUAGGCUUUGGAAACUGUUUAACUUGAGUGCAGAAGGGGAGAGUGGAAUUCCAUGUGUAGCGGUGAAAUGCGUAGGUAUAUGGGGGAACACCGGUGGCGAAAGCGGCUCUCUGGUCUGUAACUGACGCUGAGGCUCGAAAGCGUGGGGAGCGAACAGG
rnacentral:rRNA from 1 species